rnacentral:rRNA from 1 species
GACGAACGCUGGCGGCGUGCUUAACACAUGCCAGUCGAACGGAAAGGCCCUGCUUUUGUGGGUUUCUCGAGUGGCGAACGGGUGAGUAACACGUGAGUAACCUGCCCUUGACUUUGGGAUAACUUCAGGAAACUGGGGCUAAUACAGGAUAGGAGCUCCUGCUGCAUGUUGGGGGUUGGAAAGUUUCGGCGGUUGGGGUUGUACUCGCGGCUUAUCAGCUUGUUGGUGGGGUAGUGGCUUACCAAGGCUUUGAGGGGUUGCCGGCCUGAGAGGGUGACCGGCAACAUUGGGACUGAGAUACGGCCCAGACUCCUACGGGAGGCAGCAGUGGGGAAUAUUGCACAAUGGGCGGAAGCCUGAUGCAGCAACGCCGCGUGCGGGAUGACGGCCUUCGGGUUGUAAACCGCUUUCGCCUGUGACGAAGCGUGAGUGACGGUAAUGGGUAAAGAAGCACCGGCUAACUACGUG